rnacentral:rRNA from 1 species
GCCUUAGAGUUUGAUCUGGCUCAGGAUGAACGCUGGCGGCGUGCUAACACAUGCAAGUCGAGCGAUUUACUUCGGUAAAGAGCGGCGGACGGGUGAGUAACGCGUGGGUAACAUGCCCUAUACACACGGAUAACAUACCGAAAGGUAUGCUAAUACGAGAUAACAUAAGGAAUUCGCAUGGGUUUCUUAUCAAAGUUUUUGCGGUAUAGGAUGGACCCGCGUCUGAUUAGCUAGUCGGUAAGGUAACGGCUUACCAAGGCGACGAUCAGUAGCCGACCUGAGAGGGUGAUCGGCCACAUUGGAACUGAGACACGGUCCAAACUCCUACGGGAGGCAGCAGUGGGGAAUAUUGCACAAUGGGCGAAAGCCUGAUGCAGCAACGCCGCGUGAGUGAUGAAGGCCUUCGGGUCGUAAAGCUCUGUCCUUAAGGAAGAUAAUGACGGUACUUGAGGAGGAAGCCCCGGCUAACUACGUGCCAGCAGCCGCGGUAAUACGUAGGGGGCUAGCGUUAUCCGGAAUUACUGGGCGUAAAGGGUGCGUAGGUGGUUUCUUAAGUCAGAGGUGAAAGGCUACGGCUCAACCGUAGUAAGCCUUUGAAACUGAGAAACUUGAGUGCAGGAGAGGAGAGUAGAAUUCCUAGUGUAGCGGUGAAAUGCGUAGAUAUUAGGAGGAAUACCAGUUGCGAAGGCGGCUCUCUGGACUGUAACUGACACUGAGGCACGAAAGCGUGGGGAGCAAACAGGAUUAGAUACCCUGGUAGUCCACGCCGUAAACGAUGAGUACUAGCUGUCGGAGGUUACCCCCUUCGGUGGCGCAGCUAACGCA